UACGGGGGGGGCAAGCGUUGUUCGGAAUUACUGGGCGUAAAGGGCUCGUAGGUGGCCAACUAAGCCAGACGUGAAAUCCCUCGGCUUAACCGGGGAACUGCGUCUGAUACUGGAUGGCUUGAGUUCGGGAGAGGGAUGCGGAAUUCCAGGUGUAGCGGUGAAAUGCGUAGAUAUCUGGAGGAACACCGGUGGCGAAGGCGGCAUCCUGGACCGAUACUGACACUGAGGAGCGAAAGCCAGGGGAGCAAACGGG
rnacentral:rRNA from 1 species